ensembl:lncRNA
GUUAGGCAGAUCAAUAGAUAGAUAGAUAGAUAGAUGACUUUAUUAAUCCCUGAAGAAAAUUCACACUUUUUUAUUUUACAAUAAUAAUACUGAGAUAUCGCAGGUAUUGCAAUAUAUAUGUUUUAAAUUUAAAUUGUUUUUUACAAAAAUAUUUACAAACUGAUCAGAAACAGUUUUGUAGUAAAUUUAUAACCAAUAACUUUUUUGUAGUAAACUUUAAAGAUGGUAAAAAUAAAUAAAUAAAUAAAUAAAUAAAUAACUAAAUAAAUAAAACAUUAAAAAAUCCUCAUUGUUAAAUUAUUUAUUUAAUUGUUUAUUUUUAUAUAAACUUAUAGAUAUGUUUACAUUUUUCUUUAAACACAACACUUUAAACGCAGUUUUGCAAGACGCUUCUUGGCCAACCUUUUGUGAUUUUUUUGUCAUAUAGCAUAUUCCUAAUAUAUGUAAAUAUGUAAAUUUUAUGCGAAAGUGAGCUUCCUCUUGAAUGUAGCCGAAUAAAGGUACAAAAUGAAAAAAGUUAAAAAAAAAAAAAAAGGCUUGUUAUCACGUCAGCUGAGCCGCUCGAUAACAGGCCGUCAUUGACCCGGUAAUGGCCUCGGUUGCCAUGGCAACACUGUCUCUGUAAUAAAAAGCCGGACGUUUUAACAUUUCUAAAUAAAACUUUAAAAUAAAAAUAGGAAUAAACAGAACUCGGUGUGAGAAACCCUGCAGCGGACGUGAAGCUCGCCUGCUGGAGGAAGCGAUAAAUAACUCGGAGUUUUAUAAACCGCUCUCACAGUUUUAAAGUCCUGUUCUAUAACGUUUAAAAUGUCACCAGGGGGCCAUAACUCGGGGGGGACACAAAAAAACCCCAACCCUGCCAGUGUGUCACUUCCUCCUGCGGGGUGUAAUAAAGUUUUAUACGUUUGAACAGAGCGCGAGACGACGACUACGACCACGCAGAUCUGCAGAUCAGGACUUAAUCAUCAUCAUCGGGUGGGUUUAGUUUUAUUGCUGCUAAUUAACGCUUCAUUAUUUAAUUAGAAUUAAAUUUGCAGUCGGAGAGAAACUUGACCAGAUUAUAGAGCAGUAUAACGGGAGGAAAAAAAACCAGAAUUAGUUCAGAAAGAGCAGAGCGUUCAGUCUGGAAAAUUUAUUUCAUUCGCUAAGGUCGCUAAUAAAUAAAUAAAUAAAUAAACAAAUAUAUAAAUAAACAAACAAACAAAUAAAUAAAUAAAUCUUACGGCCACCAGUUUAACUUCAGGGAGAAUUGACAAAAUUCACCAAAUUUCUAAAAAGUCACCAAACAUCUUGGACCGUCUUUUUUUCAAACUAUAAAUAGAAUAUAUAAACGUAUAACAGUCUAACAAUAGUGUUAUUAUUAUUAUUAUUGUUAUUGUUAUUAUUAUUAUUAUUAUUAUUAUUAUUUCUUAGAGUUUUUUUUAAAAAGUUGCUGUUAUUUUAUCAGAAACCUAAAAAGGCACAAAGACACAAACUGGAGGCCAAACAUUGGGAAAUUUAAAUUUUUGUUUGUUUUUUUGUUUAAUAUUAAUUUAUUGCUUUUUGUUUGUUUAUUAUCAAAAACCUCAAAAAGCGCCCAAAACACCAAAAAUAAAAAAUGUAUUGUACUUAUUAACUGAUUUCAAAUUGCAAUUGAUGAACUGAUUGAUUAACCAAAGAUUUAUUAAUUAAAGUUUGUUUGGAUUUUUUUUUUAUACCACAAACCUAAAAAAGCACAAACCUGAAGGAUAAUUCAUUCUAUAAACAGGCACGUGUUUAAUCGUCACGUUUCCACGUCUCCGUCCUGCAGCUCUGCACCGAACCUUCCGUCCUGAACCACAAACCCUGUGACUGAGCUCCUCUCAGCACUCCGCAGUCCCCAAGUGUUUUACCCCUCUCACACUACGCCCUUUUUUCUCUAAAAAAUUAAACGCAGCUUGCAUAUGAGCGCAAACUCCUUUUACCUCUUUACCUCGU